rnacentral:rRNA from 1 species
AUUGAACGCUGGCGGCACGCCUAACACAUGCAAGUCGAGCGGCAGCGAGACUAGUAGCAAUACUAGUUGUCGGCGAGCGGCGGACGGGUGAGUAACACGUAGGAAUCUGCCCUUAAGCGGGGGAUAACCAAGGGAAACUUUGGCUAAUACCGCAUAAUCUCGAGAGAGCAAAGCUGCCCGCAAGGGUGGCACUUGAGGAGGAGCCUGCGUCCGAUUAGCUAGUUGGUGGGGUAAUGGCCUACCAAGGCGAUGAUCGGUAACUGGUCUGAGAGGACGACCAGUCACGCUGGGACUGAGGCACGGCCCAGACUCCUACGGGAGUCAGCAGUGGGGAAUAUUGGACAAUGGGGGCAACCCUGAUCCAGCGAUGCCGCGUGAGUGAAGAAGGCCUUCGGGUCGUAAAGCUCUUUAGGUUGGGAAGAAGUGUAUUGGCUGAAUAAUCCAGUACUUUGACGGUACCGAAAGAAUAAGCACCGGCAAACUCUGUGCCAGCCGCCGCGGUAAAAC